rnacentral:rRNA from 1 species
UACGUAGGAGACAAACGUUAUCCGGAGUUACUGGGCGUAAAGGGCGUGUAGGUGGUUUCGUAAGUCUGGCGUGAAAUUUCUCGGCUUAACCGAGGCAGGUCGUCGGAUACUGCGGAACUAGAGGACGGUAGAGGCGUGUGGAAUUCCGGGUGUAGUGGUGAAAUGCGUAGAGAUCCGGAGGAACACCAGUGGCGAAGGCGACACGCUGGGCCGUACCUGACACUGAGGCGCGAUAGCAUGGGGAGCAAACAGG